AGUGUAGCUCAACUGGUAGAGCGCCGGUCUCCAAAACCGGAGGUUGGGGGUUCGAUCCCCUCCACU
rnacentral:tRNA from 1 species